rnacentral:rRNA from 1 species
UAAGGAAUAUUGGACAAUGCCCGCAAGGGUGAUCCAGCCAUGCCGCGUGCAGGAAGAAGGCCCUAUGGGUCGUAAACUGCUUUUGAACCAGAGAAAACCCUCCUACGUGUAGGAGGCUGAUAGUAUGGUUAGAAUAAGCAUCGGCUAACUUCGUGCCAGCAGCCGCGGUAAGACGAAGGAUGCAAGCGUUAUCCGGAUUCAUUGGGUUUAAAGGGUGCGUAGGCGGCCUGAUAAGUCAGUGGUGAAAUCUCCUCGCUUAACGAGGAAACUGCCAUUGAUACUGUCGGGCUUGAGUACAGAUGCUGUGGGCGGAAUAUGACAUGUAGUGGUGAAAUACAUAGAGAUGUCAUAGAACACCGAUUGCGAAGGCAGCUCACAAAACUGUAACUGACGCUGAGGCACGAAAGUGCGGGGAUCAAACAG